AGUUCGAUCAUGGCUCAGAUUGAACGCUGGCGGGAUGCUUUACACAUGCAAGUCGAACGGCAGCACUGACUUCGGUCUGGUGGCGAGUGGCGAACGGUGAGUAAUGUAUCGGAACGUGCCUAGUAGCGGGGAUAACUACGCGAAAGCGUAGCUAGGUAUUACCGCAUAAUAGCCCUUCGGGGGAAAGCGGGGGACCUUCUGGGCCCCCGCACUAUUAGAGCGGCCGAUAUCGGAUUAGCUAGCUGGUGGGGUAACGGCUCAAUUAAGGCGACGAUCCGUAGCGCUGGUUUGAGAGGACGACCAGCCACACUGGGACUGGAGACACGGCCCAGACUCCUACGGAGGCAGCAGUGGGGAAUUUUGGGACAAUGGGGAAACCUCCCGAUCCAGCCAUCCCGCGUGCGAUGACGGCCUUCUGGGUUGUAAAGCACUUUUGGCAGGAAAGAAACGGCACGGGAUAAUACCCUGUGCAACUGACGGUACCUGCGAGAAUAAGCACCGGCUAACCACGUGCCAGCAGCCGCGGUAAUACGUAGGGUGCAAGCGUUAAUCGGACUUACUGGGCGUAAAGCGUGCGCAGGCGGUUCGGAAAGAAAGAUGUGAAAUCCCAGAGCUUAACUUUGGAACUGCAUUUAACUACCGAGCUAGAGUGUGUCAGAGGGAGGUGGAAUUCCGCGUGUAGCAGGAAA
rnacentral:misc_RNA from 1 species